GACGAACGCUGGCGGCGUGCUUAACACAUGCAAGUCGAACGGAAAGGCCCUGCUUUUGUGGGGUGCUCGAGUGGCGAACGGGUGAGUAACACGUGAGUAACCUGCCCUUGACUUUGGGAUAACUUCAGGAAACUGGGGCUAAUACCGGAUAGGAGCUCCUGCUGCAUGGUGGGGGUUGGAAAGUUUCGGCGGUUGGGGAUGGACUCGCGGCUUAUCAGCUUGUUGGUGGGGUAGUGGCUUACCAAGGCUUUGACGGGUAGCCGGCCUGAGAGGGUGACAGGCCACAGUGGGACUGAGAUACGGCCCAGACUCCUACGGGAGGCAGCAGUGGGGAAUAUUGCACAAUGGGCGGAAGCCUGAUGCAGCAACGCCGCGUGCGGGAUGACGGCCUUCGGGUUGUAAACCGCUUUCGCCUGUGACGAAGCGUGAGUGACGGUAAUGGGUAAAGAAGCAACGGCUAACUACGUG
rnacentral:rRNA from 1 species